rnacentral:rRNA from 1 species
UCGCGGAUCAGCAUGCCGCGGUGAAUACGUUCCCGGGCCUUGUACACACCGCCCGUCACACCAUGGGAGUCGGUAACACCCGAAGCCUGUAGUCUAACCGCAAGGGGACGCAGUCGAAGGUGGGAUUGAUGACUGGGUGAAGUCGUAACAAGGUACC